rnacentral:rRNA from 1 species
GACGAACGCUGGCGGCGUGCUUAACACAUGCAAGUCGAACGGAAAGGCCCUGCUUUUGUGGGGUGCUCGAGUGGCGAACGGGUGAGUAACACGUGAGUAACCUGCCCUUGACUUUGGGAUAACUUCAGGAAACUGGGGCUAAUACCGGAUAGGAGCUCCUGCUGCAUGGUGGGGGUUGGAAAGUUUCGGCGGUUGGGGAUGGACUCGCGGCUUAUCAGCUUGUUGGUGGGGUAGUGGCUUACCAAGGCUUUGACGGGUAGCCGGCCUGAGAGGGUGACCGGCCACAUUGGGACUGAGAUACGGCCCAGACUCCUACGGGAGGCAGCAGUGGGGAAUAUUGCACAAUGGGCGGAAGCCUGAUGCAGCAACGCCGCGUGCGGGAUGACGGCCUUCGGGUUGUAAACCGCUUUCGCCUGUGACGAAGCGUGAGUGACGGUAAUGGGUAAAGAAGCACCGGCUAACUACGUGCCAGCAGCCGCGGUGAUACGUAGGGUGCGAGCGUUGUCCGGAUUUAUUGGGCGUAAAGGGCUCGUAGGUGGUUGAUCGCGUCGGAAGUGUAAUCUUGGGGCUUAACCCUGAGCGUGCUUUCGAUACGGGUUGACUUGAGGAAGGUAGGGGAGAAUGGAAUUCCUGGUGGAGCGGUGGAAUGCGCAGAUAUCAGGAGGAACACCAGUGGCGAAGGCGGUUCUCUGGGCCUUUCCUGACGCUGAGGAGCGAAAGCGUGGGGAGCGAACAGGCUUAGAUACCCUGGUAGUCCACGCUGUAAACGGUGGGUACUAGGUGUGGGGUCCAUUCCACGGGUUCCGUGCCGUAGCUAACGCUUUAAGUACCCCGCCUGGGGAGUACGGCCGCAAGGCUAAAACUCAAAGGAAUUGACGGGGCCCCGCACAAGCGGCGGAGCAUGCGGAUUAAUUCGAUGCAACGCGUAGAACCUUACCUGGGUUUGACGUGGAUCGGGAGUGCUCAGAGAUGGGUGUGCCUCUUUUGGGGUCGGUUCACAGGUGGUGCAUGGCUGUCGUCAGCUCGUGUCGUGAGAUGUUGGGUUAAGUCCCGCAACGAGCGCAACCCUUGUUCACUGUUGCCAGCACGUUAUGGUGGGGACUCAGUGGAGACCGCCGGGGUCAACUCGGAGGAAGGUGGGGAUGACGUCAAGUCAUCAUGCCCCUUAUGUCCAGGGCUUCACGCAUGCUACAAUGGCUGGUACAGAGAGUGGCGAGCCUGUGAGGGUGAGCGAAUCUCGGAAAGCCGGUCUCAGUUCGGAUUGGGGUCUGCAACUCGACCUCAUGAAGUCGGAGUCGCUAGUAAUCGCAGAUCAGCAACGCUGCGGUGAAUACGUUCCCGGG